UACGAAGGGUGCAAGCGUUACUCGGAAUUAUUGGGCGUAAAGCGCGCGUAGGCGGUUACUUAUGUCGGAUGUGAAAGCCCUCGGCUUAACUGAGGAAGUGCAUUCGAAACUGGGUAGCUAGAGUACUAAAGAGGGUCGCGGAAUUCCCGGUGUAGAGGUGGAAUUCGUAGAUAUCGGGAGGAACACCGGUGGCGAAGGCGGCGACCUGGGUAGAUACUGACGCUGAGGCGCGAAAGCGUGGGGAGCAAACAGG
rnacentral:rRNA from 1 species